GCCGAAAUGGUGAAAUUGGUAAACACAAUUGACUCAAAAUCAAUCUCCAGAAAUGGUUUGCCGGUUCGAAUCCGGCUUUCGGCA
rnacentral:tRNA from 1 species